GUCUAGUGGUUAGGAUUCGGCGC
rnacentral:piRNA from 3 species